GACGAACGCUGGCGGCGUGCUUAACACAUGCAAGUCGAACGGAAAGGCCCUGCUUUUGUGGGGUGCUCGAGUGGCGAACGGGUGAGUAACACGUGAGUAACCUGCCCUUGACUUUGGGAUAACUUCAGGAAACUGGGGCUAAUACCGGAUAGGAGCUCCUGCUGCAUGGUGGGGGUUGGAAAGUUUCGGCGGUUGGGGAUGGACUCGCGGCUUAUCAGCUUGUUGGUGGGGUAGUGGCUUACCAAGGCUUUGACGGGUAGCCGGCCUGAGAGGGUGACCGGCCACAUGGGGACUGAGAUACGGCCCAGACGCCUACGGGAGGCAGCAGGGGGGAAUAUGGCACAAGGGGCGGAAGCCUGAUGCAGCAACGCCGCGUGCGGGAGGACGGCCUUCGGGUGGGAAACCGCUUUCGCCUGUGACGAAGCGUGAGGGACGGUAAUGGGUAAAGAAGCACCGGCGAACUACGU
rnacentral:rRNA from 1 species